rnacentral:misc_RNA from 1 species
AACGGUCUAUACCUGCGGUACCUGCGGAAGGAUCAUUACCGAGUUUUCAACUCCCAAACCCCAUGUGAACUUAUACCAUUUGCACCGUUGCUUCGGCGGGUUCUCGCCCCGGGCUUUACAACCCCGGAACCAGGCGGCCCGCCGGGGGACCCAAACUCUAGAUUUUAUUUUAGCAUGUCUGAGUGGAAUCAUUACAAAAUGAAUCAAAACUUUCAGCAACGGAUCUCUAGAUCGGAAGAG